rnacentral:rRNA from 1 species
ACGAACGCUGGCGGCGUGCCUAAUACAUGCAAGUUGAGCGCUGAAGGUUGGUACUUGUACCAACUGGAUGAGCAGCGAACGGGUGAGUAACGCGUGGGGAAUCUGCCUUUGAGCGGGGGACAACAUUUGGAAACGAAUGCUAAUACCGCAUAAAAACUUUAAACACAAGUUUUAAGUUUGAAAGAUGCAAUUGCAUCACUCAAAGAUGAUCCCGCGUUGUAUUAGCUAGUUGGUGAGGUAAAGGCUCACCAAGGCGAUGAUACAUAGCCGACCCGAGAGGGUGAUCGGCCACAUUGGGACUGAGACACGGCCCAAACUCCUACGGGAGGCAGCAGUAGGGAAUCUUCGGCAAUGGACGAAAGUCUGACCGAGCAACGCCGCGUGAGUGAAGAAGGUUUUCGGAUCGUAAAACUCUGUUGGUAGAGAAGAACGUUGGUGAGAGUGGAAAGCUCAUCAAGUGACGGUAACUACCCAGAAAGGGACGGCUAACUACGU